rnacentral:misc_RNA from 1 species
AGAAGAAAAACACAUGUCACACACGCGCCCUUUGCCCUUUUCCUCUCCCCGGACCUUCCGCUGAAAGUUACCGUUGGCCGCCUCUCGAGCGCCAUGUCUCGCCUCGAGACAUACAUGCAACCCGGCACCCAGCCCGCUCUCCACACGCGCAAGCUGUGCUCGUGUAACGCGGUGCUGGCGCUGGGUAGAACGGAUGCCGUAACCACGGACGCACCUGUCCCUGACACGUCGCUCUUUGGGGUCAUUCUGUUGAACAGCCCGGCGAACACAGACGAGGACUUCGCCUCUUACAUCCGCCUUUUUGAGCGCCACCGUGGCCGUGUCGCGCCGGCGUCCUGGGCGAGGGAGGGCGAAGAGGAAGCCGAGGCCACCCCCGCCAGCAGCAGGCUCCAUGAGCACCGUCCCUACUUCAUUUGCGCGGACGGCGCGUACGCUGCGCUGAAGAGGUACUGCGCAAAGCGCUGCAUCGGUAUCGCGGGCAGCGGCAGCACCGCGGCGCAGAGCGCCUUCAUCGCGUCGCGCUUGUGCGAUGCCCUCAUCGGGGACUUGGACAGCCUCCCCGCCACGCACGCCAUGCUCCUCGCUGACGCUGGUGACGCAGAAGUCGUGCUCGCCGCUGCGGCUGAUGCAGAGCCGCCUCGCCGCCGUGAUGAUGGCCAGGGCAACAAUGGUGGCGACAAGCGCCUGCUUUUCCAUGAUAGCGUGAACUCGAUUCCCGUGACGCUGCUGGAGAAGAUCCGGCGGCGGCGUGAUGCCUACAGGCACCGCGAGGCGUCCGCGUCGCCCACAACGCCAGUCGAGCCGUUUGUUCUGCUGCCCGUAGCGUGCCAGAUGUCGACGGACUUUAUGAAGUGUGUGGCACUGCUGCAGCGUCUGUGGGCACUUGACGUUGGGAUGCCGGAUUCGCUGAACGGGGUGGACCCCCUGCGAGGCUUCGAUAAAGAGGUUCCGCUUGCGGCGCAGUCGCCCGACGUCACUUCCCUUGCAUUCGAUUGCGUGGCCCGUCUCCCCGAGGCAUUGUCCACCGCCGAGGUGCAGGCGGGGGAGGAUCGGCAGGAGGCUGACCGCUGCCGACGCCUUCUCGAGUCGAUAACGACAUCGGCGCCAUUCACCACUGAACAGCCUGCUCAACGCCUGGAGACGCGCGUCCUGCCCAACAUCGCCGUCCUCGGCGCACUUGGCGGUCGCAUCGAUCACGAGUUCGGUGUUGUCUGCUGCCUUUUAUGUUACGCGCGAGUCUUUCAUAUCAUGGCCAUGAACAAGUACAACGUGCUCUUUGCGUGCUGGCCAGACGGGGUGACGCAGCUCGUCCUACCGCCGUCGUGGUCGUCUUCAGGCCCGGCGCCGAGGGAGACGGCAGCGCCGUACAUGUGCGGCAUUAUCCCUUUCGGCUUCGUGCGCGAAAUGGAGACGGCCGGGCUUCGCUGGAAUGUGGUGAAAGGCCGCCCCGAGGUGUACGACGGCUACACGCAGACGAACAAUUACCGCCUCGCUUUCGACGGACUUGUCUCGGCCUGCAACACUGUGACAUCCCCGGUCGUGACGAUCGAUGUGCGGCCGCUGCACUGCGCGCUAGGGCCGUGCUUUCCAGGCUCCGCAGCUCCCAUGAAGUGCAGUUGCGACCCGGAUGCGCCCUCCGUAAAUCCGCCCACCCUGUUCACGCUGGGGUUGCCCAGGGUAUGCCCUGAUUAUCACGAAGAUGCGCCGGCGUCCUUGUAAGGACAGCGAGAGCGGAAGGCAUCAGACCAUGGCAGGUGGGCGAAGGGCAAAGGGAUGCGGAAUGUGACUGAAGGCGUUCCUAGUGAUGAUGGCAGAUGACGCCUGUGUACAGUGCUUCCUCGCAUUUUAGGCUUUCGAGCACGCCGGCUCAACGAAACGAACGGCAGUCUUCUGUGCGUCGACGGAUAGCUGGUAAUGUGUUGUGGGCUUGCCGCACUACCGUCCACGACUCGCCACGCCCUCCCCACGCUCGACUCCUUUUUUUCGCCGAUGCUGUACGGGAGCGGUCAUUUAUCGGCGCUCACGAAGCCGACCACCCGCCCCGCCCCGCCCCGCCCCGCCUGUGCCUCGGACUUUUUUUGCCCGCCGUGUGUCCGUGCUUGAACAUGUCCCUCUCCACUUCCCGUCCGCGACGCGUAUUCGGUGAUCGCACUUCUGCACGCGUGGGAAGACGUGCGCGAGAAGACACCGUCAAAAUACAGCGAGCGACGCGCGAAAAAGAAAAACAGAACGCACUGCAACCCCAAGAGUCGCUGAGGCAUCGUGACGGGCUGGAUGCUGGCUGGGCCUGCAGAUGGGCCUCGAGCGGUCGUGGUGCUGGUGGUAGUGUGUGCAGGCACCCAGAGCGGGAGGCUGAAGGUGAGGCCACGUUUGUAGCCCGUUUGACGAGUGCAAGGAGCCACUUGCAAAAUAAAACGGGAGAGAAAGAGAGAGCGGGGUGGUGUGGGGUGGGGGAGCAGGCACGCACACACCUUACCGGGUGUAGUCUUCCGGCUAUCACCGACGUCUCUUCCGUUAUCUCCCUCUUCUGGUAGUUCCGCCUUUCCUUUUUACUCUGUGAGUGCGUGUGUGUGCACCACCCCCGUAACCGUUGAUCAGCUCGUGAUCCCAAGUGCACGCACGUGUCUCCUCCUCUCCUUAUCGUUCCCACCUCGCUUGUCUGUUUCGUUGUAUGAACUGCGUCUCUUGCGGGCCAACAUGGCUGCUAUAUUGGCCUACGUGCAUGGCCUUUACACAUGUGCAUCCCUUUCUUAUCGAAGCCCAUCCCUCUGCCUCUGUCUCCCGCGAAUAUAUAACGGCUCGCUUUUCCACCAUCUGCCCACCACAACGAAGAGACCUGCCGCAACGCGGCAGCAACAUCGUCGCAACAUCAUAUACACAGAUACAUAUACGCUGUGUAUAAC